GAUGAACGCUGGCGGCGUGCCUAAUACAUGCAAGUCGAGCGAACGGACGAGAAGCUUGCUUCUCUGAUGUUAGCGGCGGACGGGUGAGUAACACGUGGAUAACCUACCUAUAAGACUGGGAUAACUUCGGGAAACCGGAGCUAAUACCGGAUAAUAUUUUGAACCGCAUGGUUCAAAAGUGAAAGACGGUCUUGCUGUCACUUAUAGAUGGAUCCGCGCUGCAUUAGCUAGUUGUAAGGUAACGGCUUACCAAGGCAACGAUGCAUAGCCGACCUGAGAGGGUGAUCGGCCACACUGGAACUGAGACACGGUCCAGACUCCUACGGGAGGCAGCAGUAGGGAAUCUUCCGCAAAGGGCGAAAGCCUGACGGAGCAACGCCGCGUGAGUGAUGAAGGUCUUCGGAUCGUAAAACUCUGUUAUUAGGGAAGAACAUAUGUGUAAGUAACUGUGCACAUCUUGACGGUACCUAAUCAGAAAGCCACGGCUAACUACGUG
rnacentral:rRNA from 1 species